CCUGGUUGAUCCUACCAGUAGUCAUAUGCUUGUCUCAAAGAUUAAGCCAUGCAUGUGCAAGUAUGAACUAAUUCAGACUGUGAAACUCGAAUGUCUCAUUAAUUCAGUUAUAGUUUGUUUGAUGGUACCUGCUACUCGGAUAACCGUAGUAAUUCUAUAGCUAAUAUGUGCAACAAACCUUGACUUCCAGAAGGGAUGCAUUUAUUAGAUAAAGGCCGACGCGGGCUCGCCCCGCCAUUAUGAUGAUUGAUGAUAACUCGACGGAUCGCACGGCCCUCGUGCCCACGACGCAUCAUUGAAAUUUCUGCCCUAUCAACUUUCGAUGGUAGUAUAGGGGCCUACCGUGGUGGUGACGGGUGAUGGAGAAUUAGGGUUCGAUUCCAGAGAGGGAGCCUGAGAAAUAGCUACCACAUCCAAGGAAAGCAGUAGGCACGCAAAUUACCAAAUCCUGACAUGGGGAGGUUGUGACAAUAAAUAACAAUACCGGGCCCUUCGGGUCUGGUAAUUGGAAUGAGUACAAUCUAAAUCACUUAACGAGGAUCCAUUGGACUGCAAGUCUGGUGCCAGCAGCCGCGGUAAUUCCAGCUCUAAUAGCGUAUAUUUAAGUUGUUGCAGUUAAAAAGCUCGUAGUCGGACCUUGGGCCAGGCCGGUGGUCCGCCUCUCGGUGUGCACCGGCCAUCCCGUCCCCUCUGCCGGUGAUGCGCUCCUGGCCUUAACUGGCUGGGUCGUGCCUCUGGCGCCGUUACUUUGAAGAAAUUAGAGUGUUCAAAGCAAGCCCACGCUCUGGAUACAUUAGUAUGGGAUAACAUCAUAGGAUUCCGGUCCUAUUGUGUUGGCCUCCAGGAUCGGAGUAAUGAUUAAGAAGGACAGUCAGGGCAUUCGUAUUUCAUAGUCAGAGGUGAAAUUCUUGGAUUUAUGAAAGACGAACUACUGCGAAAGCAUUUUCCAAGGAUGUUUUCAUUGAUCAAGAAUGAAAGUUGGGGGAUCGAAGACAAUCAGAUACCGUCCUAGUCUCAAACCAUAAACGAUGCUGACCAAGGAUCGGCGGAUGUUGCUUUUAGGACUCUGCCGACACCUUAUCAGAAAUUAAAGUCUUUGGGUUCUGGGGGGAGCAUGGUCACAAGGCUGAAACUUAAAGGAAUUGACGGAAGGGCACCACCAGGAGUGGAGGCUGCGGCUUAAUUUGACUCAACAUGGGGAAACUUACCAGGUCCAGACAUAGCAAGGAUUGACAGACUGAGAGCUCUUUCUUGAUUCUAUGGGUGGGGGUGCAUGGCCAUUCUUAGUUGGUGGAGCGAUUUGUCUGGUUAAUUCCGAUAACGAACGAGACCUUAGCCUUAGAGGGACUAUGGCCGUUUAGGCCACGAAAGUUUAAGGCAAUAAUAGGUCUCUGAUGCCCUUAGAUGUUCUGGGCCGCACAAGCACUACACUAAUGUAUUCAAUGAGUCUAUAGCCUUGCCCGACAAGCCCGGGCAAUUUUGUAAAAUUUCAUCGUGAUGGGGAUAGAUCAUUGCAAUUGUUGGUCUUCAACGAGGAAUUCCUAGUAAGCUUGAGUCAUCAGCACGCGUGUACUACGUCCCUGCCCUUUGUACACACCGCCGUCGCUCCUACCGAUUGAAUGGUCCGGUGAAGUGUUCGGAUCGCGGCGACGGGGGCUGUCUCACCGCCCACGACAUCGCGAGAAGUCCACUGAAUCUUAUCAUUUAGAGGAAGGAGAAGUCGUAACAAGGUUUCUGCAGGUGAACCUGCGGAAG
rnacentral:rRNA from 1 species